AUGGCUGCAGGGCCGUUGGAGCUGUGGAGCCACCAGUCGAUGCAGAUCCUGGUCCUGCUCAGCUUCGGGCUCCAGCUCGUCCUCUUGGUCUUCGCCGGGGUCCGCCAGCGUGAGGCCCUCGUGCCAAGGCUCCUCCUGUGGCUAGCUUACCUCAUGGCCGACUCCACUGCCGUGUACGCCGUCGGCCACAUGUCGUUCAGUAGCGCCGUGCGGCCCGUGCAUGAGCACCAGCUCGUCGCGUUCUGGGCGCCAUUCCUGCUGCUGCACCUCGGCGGCCCGGACAACAUCACCGCCUACGCGUUCCAGGACAACCAGCUCUGGCUCCGUCACCUCCAGAUCCUUGUCGUGCAGGUCCUUGGAGCGGCCUACGUCCUCUACAAGCACAUCGCCUUCGCCGGCGGCGGUCCAAACAGGGAGUCGCUCCGGAUCGCCUCCUUCCUGAUGUUCGCCAUAGGUGUCGUCAAGUACGGCGAGAGGACGUGGGCGCUGAAGUGCAGCACCCUGGAGAGCAUCGGCGCCUCCAUCAAUACGCAGCCCGCCAUCCACAAUCAUUUCCACCCUCAGGACAGACUCACGGCGGAGGAGUUCCACCUACGACGAGGUCACAGCCUGUUCCACAUCUGCAAGUUCACCAUCGUCGAUUCCUCGGUGCUUGAGGCGGACUCCAUGGAACUACUAGACGUGUACACCGUCAAGCUGACACAAGGCGUCGAGCUGUGGACGCUGAUGGAGAUCGAGCUCUCCCUCAUGUACGACCUGCUCUACACCAAGCCGGGCGUGGUCCACACCUUCUGCGGCUACCUGGUCCUAGUCGUCUCGCCCCUUACCGUGCUGUUCCAGUUCACCUCCAAGGACGGCCACACCAGAGCCGACGUCGCCAUCACAUACGUCCUGCUGGGUGGCGCCGUGUUCAUGGAGACGACGUCGCUCCUGAACGCGUUGGCAUCGUCUUGGACGUUCCCGUUCCUCAGCGCCACCAGCUAG
rnacentral:rRNA from 1 species